GAUGAACGCUGGCGGCGUGCCUAAUACAUGCAAGUCGAGCGAACAGACGAGGAGCUUGCUCCUCUGACGUUAGCGGCGGACGGGUGAGUAACACGUGGAUAACCUACCUAUAAGACUGGGAUAACUUCGGGAAACCGGAUCUAAUACCGGAUAAUAUAUUGAACCGCAUGGUUCAUUAGUGAAAGACGGUUUUGCUGUCACUUAUAGAUGGAUCCGCGCCGCAUUAGCUAGUUGGUAAGGUAACGGCUUACCAAGGCAACGAUGCGUAGCCGACCUGAGAGGGUGAUCGGCCACACUGGAACUGAGACACGGUCCAGACUCCUACGGGAGGCAGCAGUAGGGAAUCUUCCGCAAUGGGCGAAAGCCUGACGGAGCAACGCCGCGUGAGUGAUGAAGGUCUUCGGAUCGUAAAACUCUGUUAUUAGGGAAGAACAAAUGUGUAAGUAACUAUGCACGUCUUGACGGUACCUAAUCAGAAAGCAACGGCUAACUACGUG
rnacentral:rRNA from 1 species